UUCCGGUUGAUCCUGCCGGACCCGACUGCUAUUUGGGUGAGGAUAAGCCAUGCGAGUUGAAUGGGAAACCUAAAAAUCCCAUGGCAAACUGCUCAGUAACACAUGAUCAACUUGCCCUAUAGAGGAAAAUAACCUCGGGAAACUGAGGAUAAUGUUCCAUAGUUGAAUCGGCUUGGAAAAGUUUUUCAAUAAAAGGGAUAAGGAAAAUGGUCCUUAUCUGCUAUAGGAUAGGAUCGUGCUCGAUUAUGGUUGUUGGUGAGGUAAAGGCUCACCAAGCCGAUAAUCGAUAGGGGCCGUGAGAGCGGGAGCCCCGAGAUGGGUACUGAGACAACGACCCAGGCCUUAUGAGGCGCAGCAGGCGCGAAACCUCCGCAAUACACGAAAGUGUGACGGGGUUACCCAAAGUGUUCUAUUUAGAACUGUGGUAGGUGAGUAAUGUUCCCUACUAGAAAGGAGAGGGCAAGGCUGGUGCCAGCCGCCGCGGUAAAACCAGCUCUUCAAGUGGUCGGGAUAAUUAUUGGGCUUAAAGUGUCCGUAGCCGGUUUAGUAAGUUCCUGGUAAAAUCGGGUAGCUUAACUAUCUAUAUGCUAGGAAUACUGCUAUACUAGAGGGCGGGAGAGGUCUGAGGUACUACAGGGGUAGGGGUGAAAUCUUAUAAUCCUUGUAGGACCACCAGUGGCGAAGGCGUCAGACUGGAACGCGCCUGACGGUGAGGGACGAAAGCCAGGGGAGCGAACCGGAUUAGAUACCCGGGUAGUCCUGGCCGUAAACGAUGCAUACUAGGUGAUGGCACGGCCAUGAGCCGUGUCAGUGCCGUAGGGAAACCGUUAAGUGUGCCGCCUGGGAAGUACGGUCGCAAGGCUAAAACUUAAAGGAAUUGGCGGGGGAGCACCACAAGGGGUGAAGCCUGCGGUUCAAUUGGAUUCAACGCCGGG
rnacentral:rRNA from 1 species